GACACUAAUCCAGCAAGUCAAAAGUCAAAUUUGCCCUUAAAAGCUCAAUUUUAGGUUAAAUUCAAAACAUGAAAUUUUGUAUAGAAACCUAAGUUUUUGUCAAACUAAAAGUUGUAGAGUUUUACAUUUCUAGCAACUUUUCUUAUUAGCACUUUGAAUGGUUUGGAGGGGAAGAGGUUCACAAGCUAGAAUCAAAAUCAGUAGCAAUUCAAAAUAACUUCAAAAACUCUAAGUGCUGUAGCAAAUUAUACUUGGUUACGCUUUAUUAGGAGGCUUAGACACUAAUCCAGCAAGUGAAAAAUCAAAUUUGUCCUUGAAAGCUCAAUUUUGGGUUAAAUUCAAAACUUGAAACCUUGUAUAAAAACCUAAAUUUUUGUCAAACUAAAAGUGGUAGAGUUUUACAUUUCUAGCAACUUUUCUAAUGAGCACUUUGGAUGGUUUGGAGGGGAAGAGGUUCAAAAGCUAGAAUCAAAAUCAGUAGCAAUUCAAAAUCACUUCAAAAACUCUAAGUGCUCUAGCAAAUUAUACUUGGUUACGCUUGAUUAGGAGGCUUAAACACUAAUCCAGCAAGUGAAAAGUCAAAUUUGCCCUUGAAAGCUCAAUUUUUGAAUUAAAAAUCAAUUCAAAAACUCUAAGUUCUCUAGCAAAUUAUACUUGGUUAGUCUUGAUUAGGAGGCUUAGACACUAAUCCAGCAAGUCAAAAGUCAAAUUUGCCCUUAAAAGCUCAAUUUUAGGUUAAAUUCAAAACUUGAAAUUUUGUAUAGAAACCUAAGUUUUUGUCAAACUAAAAGUUGUAGAGUUUACAUUUUUAGCAACUUUUUUUAUUAGCACUUUGAAUGGUUUGGAGGGGAAGAGGUUCACAAGCUAGAAUCAAAAUCAGUAGCAAUUCAAAAUCACUUAAAAAACUCUAAGUGCUCUAGCAAAUUAUACUUGGUUACGCUUGAUUAGGAGGCUUAGACACUAAUCCUACAAGUGAAAAGUCAAAUGUGCCCUUGAAAGCUCAAUUUUGGGUUAAAUUCGAAACUUGGAAUUUUGUAUAGAAACAUAAGUUUUUGUCAAACGAAAAGUUGUAAAGUUUUACAUUUCUAGCAACUUUUCUUAUUAGCACUUUGAAUGGUUUGGAGAGGAAUAGGUCCAAAAGCUAGAAUCAAAAUCAGUAGCAAUUCAAAAUCACAUCAAAAAACUCUAAGUGCUCUAGCAAAUUAUACUUGGUUACGCUUGAUUAGGAGGUUUAAACACUAAUCCAGCAAGUGAAAAGUCAAAUUUGCCCUUGAAAGCUCAAUUUUUGAAUUAAAAAUCAAUUCAAAAACUCUAAGUUCUCUAGCAAAUUAUACUUGGUUAGUCUUGAUUAGGAGGCUUAGACACUAAUCCAGCAAGUCAAAAGUCAAAUUUGCCCUUAAAAGCUCAAUUUUAGGUUAAAUUCAAAACAUGAAAUUUUGUAUAGAAACCUAAGUUUUUGUCAAACUAAAAGUUGUAGAGUUUUACAUUUCUAGCAACUUUUCUUAUUAGCACUUUGAAUGGUUUGGAGGGGAAGAGGUUCACAAGCUAGAAUCAAAAUAAGUAGCAAUUCAAAAUCACUUCAAAAACUCUAAGUGCUCUAGCAAAUUAUACUUGGUUACGCUUGAUUAGGAGGCUUAGACACUAAUCCAACAACUGAAAAGUCAAAUUUGCCCUUGAAAGCUCAAUUUUGGGUUAAAUUCGAAACUUGGAAUUUUGUAUAGAAACAUAAGUUUUUGUCAAACGAAAAGUUGUAGAGUUUUACAUUUCUAGCAAGUUUUCUUAUUAGCACUUUGAAUGGUUUGGAGAGGAAUAGGUCCAAAGGCUAGAAUCAAAAUUAGUAGCAAUUCAAAAUCACUUCAAAAACUCUAAGUGCUGUAGCAAAUUAUACUUGGUUACGCUUGAUUAGGAGGCUUAGACACUAAUCCAGCAAGUGAAAAGUCAAAUUUGUCCUUGAAAGCUCAAUUUUGGGUUAAAUUCAAAACUUGAAACCUUGUAUAAAAACCUAAAUUUUUGUCAAACUAAAAGUGGUAGAGUUUUACAUUUCUAGCAACUUUUCUAAUGAGCACUUUGGAUGGUUUGGAGGGGAAGAGGUUCAAAAGCUAGAAUCAAAAUCAGUAGCAAUUCAAAAUCACUUCAAAAACUCUAAGUGCUCUAGCAAAUUAUACUUGGUUACGCUUGAUUAGGAGGCUUAAACACUAAUCCAGCAAGUGAAAAGUCAAAUUUGCCCUUGAAAGAUCAAUUUUUGAAUUAAAAAUCAAUUCAAAAACUCUAAGUUCUCUAGCAAAUUAUACUUGGUUAGUCUUGAUUAGGAGGCUUAGACACUAAUCCAGCAAGUCAAAAGUCAAAUUUGCCCUUAAAAGCUCAAUUUUAGGUUAAAUUCAAAACUUGAAAUUUUGUAUAGAAACCUAAGUUUUUGUCAAACUAAAAGUUGUAGAGUUUACAUUUGUAGCAACUUUUCUUAUUAGCACUUUGAAUGGUUUGGAGGGGAAGAGGUUCACAAGCUAGAAUCAAAAUCAGUAGCAAUUCAAAAUCACUUAAAAAACUCUAAGUGCUCUAGCAAAUUAUACUUGGUUACGCUUGAUUAGGAGGCUUAGACACUAAUCCAACAAGUGAAAAGUCAAAUGUGCCCUUGAAAGCUCAAUUUUGGGUUAAAUUCGAAACUUGGAAUUUUGUAUAGAAACAUAAGUUUUUGUCAAACGAAAAGUUGUAGAGUUUUACAUUUCUAGCAACUUUUCUUAUUAGCACUUUGAAUGGUUUGGAGAGGAAGAGGUCCAAAAGCUAGAAUCAAAAUCAGUAGCAAUUCAAAAUCACUUCAAAAACUCUAAGUGCUCUAGCAAAUUAUACUUGGUUACGCUUGAUUAGGAGUCUUAGACACUAAUCCAGCAAGUGAAAAGUCAAAUUAUUCCUCGAAAGCUCAAUUGUGGGUUAAAUUCAAAACUUGAAACCUUGUAUAAAAACCUAAAUUUUUGUCAAACUAAAAGUUGUAGAGUUUUACAUUUCUAGCAACUUUUCUAAUGAGCACUUUGGAUGGUUUCGAGAGGAAGAGGUUCAAAAGCUAGAAUGAAAAUAAGUAGCAAUUCAAAAUCAAUUCAAAAACUCUAUGUUCUCUAGCAAAUUAUACUUGGUUAGGCUUGAUUAGGAGGCUUAGACACUAAUCCAGCAAGUCAAAAGUCAAAUUUGCCCUUAAAAGCUCAAUUUUAGGUUAAAUUCAAAACAUGAAAUUUUGUAUAGAAACCUAAGUUUUUGUCAAACGAAAAGUUGUAGAGUUUUACAUUUCUAGCAACUUUUCUUAUUAGCACUUUGAAUGGUUUGGAGGGAAGAGGUUCACAAGCUAGAAUCAAAAUCAGUAGCAAUUCAAAAUCACUUCAAAAACUCUAAGUGCUCUAGCAAAGUAUACUUGGUUACGCUUGAUUAGGAGGCUUAGACACUAAUCCAACAAAUGAAAAGUCAAAUUUGCCCUUGAAAGCUCAAUUUUGGGUUAAAUUCGAAACUUGGAAUUUUUUAUAGAAACAUAAGUUUUUGUCAAACGAAAAGUUGUAGAGUUUUACAUUUCUAGCAACUUUUCUUAUUAGCACUUUGAAUGGUUUGGAGAGGAAUAGGUCCAAAAGCUAGAAUCAAAAUCAGUAGCAAUUCAAAAUCACUUCAAAACUAAGUGCUCUAGCAAAUUAUACUUGGUUACGCUUGAUUAGGAGGCUUAGACACUAAUCCAGCAAGUGAAAAGUCAAAUUUGUCCUUGAAAGCUCAAUUUUGGGUUAAAUUCAAAACUUGAAACCUUGUAUAAAAACCUAAAUUUUUGUCAAACUAAAAGUUGUAGAGUUUUACAUUUCUAGCAACUUUUCUAAUGAGCACUUUGGAUGGUUUGGAGGGGAAGAGGUUCAAAAGCUAGAAUCAAAAUCAGUAGCAAUUCAAAAUCACUUCAAAAACUCUAAGUGCUCUAGCAAAUUAUACUUGGUUACGCUUGAUUAGGAGGCUUAGACACUAAUCCAGCAAGUGAAAAGUCAAAUUUGCCCUUGAAAGCUCAAUUUUUGAAUUAAAAAUCAAUUCAAAAACUCUAAGUUCUCUAGCAAAUUAUACUUGGUUAGUCUUGAUUAGGAGGCUUAGACACUAAUCCAGCAAGUCAAAAGUCAAAUUUGCCCUUAAAAGCUCAAUUUUAGGUUAAAUUCAAAACUUGAAAUUUUGUAUAGAAACCUAAGUUUUUGUCAAACUAAAAGUUGUAGAGUUUACAUUUCUAGCAACUUUUCUAUUUAGCACUUUGAAUGGUUUGGAGGGGAAGAGGUUCACAAGCAAGAAUCAAAAUCAGUAGCAAUUCAAAAUCACUUAAAAAACUCUAAGUGCUCUAGCAAAUUAUACUUGGUUACGCUUGAUUAGGAGGCUUAGACACUAAUCCAACAAGUGAAAAGUCAAAUGUGCCCUUGAAAGCUCAAUUUUGGGUUAAAUUCGAAACUUGGAAUUUUGUAUAGAAACAUAAGUUUUUGUCAAACGAAAAGUUGUAGAGUUUUACAUUUCUAGCAACUUUUCUUAUUAGCACUUUGAAUGGUUUGGAGAGGAAGAGGUCCAAAAGCUAGAAUCAAAAUCAGUAGCAAUUCAAAAUCACUUCAAAAACUCUAAGUGCUCUAGCAAAUUAUACUUGGUUACGCUUGAUUAGGAGUCUUAGACACUAAUCCAGCAAGUGAAAAGUCAAAUUAUUCCUUGAAAGCUCAAUUGUGGGUUAAAUUCAAAACUUGAAACCUUGUAUAAAAACCUAAAUUUUUGUCAAACUAAAAGUUGUAGAGUUUUACAUUUCUAGCAACUUUUCUAAUGAGCACUUUGGAUGGUUUCGAGAGGAAGAGGUUCAAAAGCUAGAAUGAAAAUAAGUAGCAAUUCAAAAUCAAUUCAAAAACUCUAAGUUCUCUAGCAAAUUAUACUUGGUUAGGCUUGAUUAGGAGGCUUAGACACUAAUCCAGCAAGUCAAAAGUCAAAUUUGCCCUUAAAAGCUCAAUUUUAGGUUAAAUUCAAAACAUGAAAUUUUGUAUAGAAACCUAAGUUUUUGUCAAAAGAAAAGUUGUAGAGUUUUACAUUUCUAGCAACUUUUCUUAUUAGCACUUUGAAUGGUUUGGAGGGAAGAGGUUCACAAGCUAGAAUCAAAAUCAGUAGUAAUUCAAAAUCACUUCAAAAACUCUAAGUGCUCUAGCAAAUUAUACUUGGUUAGUCUUGAUUAGGAGGCUUAGACACUAAUCCAACAACUGAAAAGUCAAAUUUGCCCUUGAAAGCUCAAUUUUGGGUUAAAUUCGAAACUUGGAAUUUUGUAUAGAAACAUAAGUUUUUGUCAAACGAAAAGUUGUAGAGUUUUACAUUUCUAGCAACUUUUCUUAUUAGCACUUUGAAUGGUUUGGAGAGGAACAGGUCCAAAAGCUAGAAUCAAAAUCAGUAGCAAUUCAAAAUCACUUCAAAAACUCUAAGUGCUCUAGCAAAUUAUACUUGGUUACGCUUGAUUAGGAGGCUUAGACACUAAUCCAACAAAUGAAAAGUCAAAUUUGCCCUUGAAAGCUCAAUUUUGGGUUAAAUUCGAAACUUGGAAUUUUGUAUAGAAACAUAAGUUUUUGUCAAACGAAAAGUUGUAGAGUUUUACAUUUCUAGCAACUUUUCUUAUUAGCACUUUGAAUGGUUUGGAGAGGAAUAGGUCCAAAAGCUAGAAUCAAAAUCAGUAGCAAUUCAAAAUCACUUCAAAAACUCUAAGUGCUCUAGCAAAUUAUACUUGGUUACGCUUGAUUAGGAGGCUUAGACACUAAUCCAGCAAGUGAAAAGUCAAAUUUGUCCUUGAAAGCUCAAUUUUGGGUUAAAUUCAAAACUUGAAACCUUGUAUAAAAACCUAAAUUUUUGUCAAACUAAAAGUUGUAGAGUUUUACAUUUCUAGCAACUUUUCUAAUGAGCACUUUGGAUGGUUUGGAGGGGAAGAGGUUCAAAAGCUAGAAUCAAAAUCAGUAGCAAUUCAAAAUCACUUCAAAAACUCUAAGUGCUCUAGCAAAUUAUACUUGGUUACGCUUGAUUAGGAGGCUUAGACACUAAUCUAGCAAGUGAAAAGUCAAAUUUGUCCUUGAAAGCUCAAUUUUUGAAUUAAAAAUCAAUUCAAAAACUCUAAGUUCUCUAGCAAAUUAUACUUGGUUAGUCUUGAUUAGGAGGCUUAGACACUAAUCCAGCAAGUCAAAAGUCAAAUUUGCCCUUAAAAGCUCAAUUUUAGGUUAAAUUCAAAACUUGAAAUUUUGUAUAGAAACCUAAGUUUUUGUCAAACUAAAAGUUGUAGAGUUUACAUUUCUAGCAACUUUUCUUAUUAGCACUUUGAAUGGUUUGGAGGGGAAGAGGUUCACAAGCUAGAAUCAAAAUCAGUAGCAAUUCAAAAUCACUUAAAAAACUCUAAGUGCUCUAGCAAAUUAUACUUGGUUACGCUUGAUUAGGAGGCUUAGACACUAAUCCAACAAGUGAAAAGUCAAAUUUGCCCUUGAAAGCUCAAUUUUGGGUUAAAUUCGAAACUUGGAAUUUUGUAUAGAAACAUAAGUUUUUGUCAAACGAAAAGUUGUAGAGUUUUACAUUUCUAGCAACUUUUCUUAUUAGCACUUUGAAUGGUUUGGAGAGGAAGAGGUCCAAAAGCUAGAAUCAAAAUCAGUAGCAAUUCAAAAUCACUUCAAAAACUCUAAGUGCUCUAGCAAAUUAUACUUGGUUACGCUUGAUUAGGAGGCUUAGACACUAAUCCAGCAAGUGAAAAGUCAAAUUUGUCCUUGAAAGCU
rnacentral:lncRNA from 1 species